rnacentral:rRNA from 1 species
AGCGAACGCUGGCGGCAGGCCUAACACAUGCAAGUCGAACGGAUCCUUCGGGAUUAGUGGCGGACGGGUGAGUAACACGUGGGAACGUGCCCUUUGGUUCGGAACAACUCAGGGAAACUUGAGCUAAUACCGGAUGUGCCCUUCGGGGGAAAGAUUUAUCGCCAUUGGAGCGGCCCGCGUCUGAUUAGCUAGUUGGUGGGGUAAAGGCCCACCAAGGCGACGAUCAGUAGCUGGUCUGAGAGGAUGAUCAGCCACAUUGGGAUUGAGACACGGCCCAAACGCCUACGGGAGGCAGCAGUGGGGAAUCUUGCGCAAUGGGCGAAAGCCUGACGCAGCAAUGCCGCGUGAAAGAUGAAGGUCUUAGGAUUGUAAAAUUCUUUCACCGGGGACGAUAAUGACGGUACCCGUAGAAGAAGCCCCGGCUAACUUCGUGCCAGCCGCCGCGGUAACAC